rnacentral:lncRNA from 1 species
CGUGAGCGCGGAGCUCGGUGGUGCAGCGGAGGCGUGAGCGAAAGCUCAGGGGUGCCGGGAAGGCAUGAGCGGGAUGCUCGAUGGGUGCCGGGAAGGCAUGAGCGGGAUGAUCGAUGGGUGCCGGGAAGGCAUGAGCGGGAUGCUCGAUGGGUGCCGGGAAGGCAUGAGCAGAAGCUUGUGGUUGCCGUGAAGGCCUGAGUGGGAUGCUCGAUGGCUACCGGGAAGGCGUUAGCGGAAGCUCGUGGUUGCCAGGAAGGCAUGAGAGGAAAGCUCGUGAGCUCGGAGAUCGGUGGUGCCGUAGAGGAGUGAGCAGAAGCUUGUGAUUUAGAAGCUCGGGGUUGCCACGAAGGCUUGAGUGGAAGCUUGUGGUUGCUGGGAAGGCUUGAGUGGGAUGCUCGAUGGUUGCGGGAAGGCAUGAGAGGAAAGCUCGUGAGUGCGGAGCUCGGUGGUGCAGCGGAGGCAUGAGAGAAAGCUCGUGAGUGGGAAGCUCAGGGGUUAUCGAUAAGGCAUGAGCGAGAAGCUUGAGGGUUGCCGCUAAGGCAUGAGCAGAAGCUCGUGGUGUUGCCAUGAGACAUUAAUGGGUAGCUCGAAGGUGAUGCCCUGAGGCAUGAGGGUAACCGUUGCUAAUUAUGAUGGGCUCUAUGUACAAGUCUCUGAAGUCCCCGAUCAAGGAGGGUUUUCAGCGGGGUUGAUACCAAAGCGUGGCUUUGUGCCGUAUUGCGAGCAUAAUUAGUGUAAGUCCGUCGUCCAUCUAGAAUUGGUUAGAGUGAACGCUUAUGCCCUUUUGGGUGGGCCCCAUGCUAGGCCCUCCGAGGAGUCCCCCAACUCCUAGCUGUAGACCUCCGUAUGGUUGAAAUUUUUUUUGAUGAGGGGAGCUGCGUAUGAGCAGUGGGUGUUAGGUAGCGAACCUAAUCUUUGAUACCCAAGCGUACCGGUCCCUUUACUCUUUCCCGAAGGAGAAAAGCUUGACUACAAUUCCGCGUAGUGGUCAUCGUCAUUAUGAGGUGUUUCCUUGCCUCUUGGCGGUUAGUCGUGGACCAUAGACUCGUGGAGUCUUUAGACCGGUUUAGGUCUCUUUCCUGUGGGGAGGGUUUGAUAAAAUAUGGUGACCAAGAGGCUAGAC